AGUUUAUUUCGACAUCUUUGACCUUUUUCUUAACAUUUUAUUCCUCAGUGUAUUCCUUGGACUUGGUACCUGUCUAUGGACUUCCAGUGCCACCACUCCUCUGUUGGUCUAUUUUUACAGACAAAACAGAGGUGAGCUGAAACAGCUGUUUCUGGAGGCCUUCUGCUGAUGACCACCGUGACCAGUGCUAUUGUAGCUACACUUCUACAGCUGCCAGUCGUUCUGCCGUCUCAACUGUUUUAUCCAGACCCUCGUUCCAACAUUAGUUUUUCCUGCUAUCUGUCACAUCCUGUCUUCAUUAUCCUGUACACUGGCGUGCAACAGACCCCAACUCAGGCAUCAACUUCUUGACAGAGAGUUGAUAUGGAUUACAUCUUGCAGGUGACACAAAAAGUGUAAUUUCAAGUUGGAAAUUAUUAAAAGAGGACUAAUACAGCGAAA